AUUGAACGCUGGCGGCAGGCCUAACACAUGCAAGUCGAACGAGUGGCGGACGGGUGAGUAAUGUCUGGGAAACUGCCUGAUGGAGGGGGAUAACUACUGGAAACGGUAGAUAAUACCGCAUACCAUCAGAUGUGCCCAGAUGGGAUUAGCUCGUUGGUGGGGUAACGGCUCACCAAGGCGACGAUCCCUAGCUGGUCUGUGAGGAUGACCACCAACACUGGAACUGGUACACGGUCCAGACUCCUAAGGGAGGCAGCAUUGGGGAAUAUUGCACAAUGGGCGAAAGCCUAAUGCGGCCAUGCCACGUGUCUUAAGAAGGCCUUCGUGUGGUAAGUUACAGUGAGCGGGGAGGCGUUACCCGCAGAAGAAGCACCGGCUAACUCCGUUCCAGCAGCCGCGGUAAUUC
rnacentral:rRNA from 1 species